AACCCGCACCUAGCCCCUUCACAGCAAAUGCGCUUUUUGCCCUGCGGUUGUGUGCGACCGACCUUAAACUUUCUCCGACCCUAUCUCGCUCGGGAUGCUAGGGCUCAGGUCGUGGUGGUUUCGGGAACCUCACGACAAAAUUCCCCAGCUGACCUUUCGGAAAUUUAACUCGGGUCGUCCUGUACGGAAAGGUAGUCUAUGGGGUGCGCAGAAUGGAAAAGGGCUUCCACAUCAGUCGUGUUCGAGGACGCUCUCCAACUUUUGAUGUCCCGUUUGCACUGAGAUUUCCCUGGAGAGUUUCAGAAAGGAUUUCUUCCCACAGACGUGACCCCAGAAGGCUGCCGAGGGAGACUUUAGGACAAAAGGAGUUGUUUUUGUGAGAAUGCAUUUUUAUACUUUCCCCCGCCCGCCCCCCCCCCCUCCGCCCCCGCCAGGUAAAUCGAAGUAAAUGAUUUUCUGAAGGUCGGUCUCCCAGAAAGCAUUUGGGCUCCGGUUUUUUGUUUUGUUUUUAUUUUCGUGUUUUCCCAGUUAGGGAAGGGAGAGGAGCCUGUGCAGAGUUGAACUGGGGUGGAGAGGUGCGUUGUAAAGUAUGGUUUCCAGAGACGGUGAGACCUCGUCGCUAAGCGUUGUUUCCUCUGCAUGUAACUGUGAGUUGUGAACUUGUGGUUCCUGGGGGAGCGGGGACAGGGCCUGGCAGUGCGGAGGAGGGGGCGAGGAAUUCAGGAAGUUGGAGAGAAUUCUUCUUUUUUCAUUCUUCGUUGUAAAUUGCUUCUAAACGCUUGUGAAUUUUAAAUUGCUACCGAGAAGGUCCAGAAACCGUUCUCGUCCAAUUUAGUCACUUUUAUUACAAUCCACUUUGCCUCCCCCAAUCACUGCGGCGGCUCCCAGUUUCAGCGUGGCCGCAUUUUGAAAAGGCUGAAGGUAGAAAACUCUGGAAUGGAGAGGUUGGCUACUGGAGCAGGAUCCAGGGGCUUUAAAUUUUAACCUGAGUGUGAUUGAAUGCGCGACUCCCAGAAGAGAUAGCCAGGCGUCCGCCCGGCCGCUCAACCCCCGCCAGGACUCGGAAUGCCUUGCUUUUGGUUCUUUUCGUGAGUUCCACCAAAUGUUUAAGUGGACUGCGUUCUGCAGAAGCUCAGUUGUAAGCAGUGACGGAAAUGUGUUGUGGACAUUUGAUUUCCUUUGAUUCCAGCGUUUUGAAAUAAUGUUUCUCAGGUUUGCUAUUAAAAGCAAUUUUCUAAAAACUCUAUCUUAUUUGCUAAAAAUAAACUAUCUGGCUCAGUUUGUGUCCAGGCUGUGAAUGGCCUCCAACCCUGAGCCCCGAGGAGAUCGAGCCCUGGCGCGAGCCUGAUCUCUGUCCUGUGUGUUUCUUUGUAUUUGCAAGUACAAGGAUGUCUCCGUGGAUAUCCCUGGACACUCGAUAACACCCGGGGACCUGCUUUUCCCGCAGCUCCGCAGACGUGGCAGGAGGGCGCGCUGGCCCUAGCGCUGCUGGGACAGAGGUGAGCGGCGGGGUGGACAUUGACCGAUUCGACAACCUUCGGGCUCUAAGGGCUCGGGAAGGGUCCCGGCAUUUUACCCUCCAGAUUCCCAAUCUAUUUUUAAAAAUAAUGUUCAAAACAAAUGGGAAAAAUAAGUGAUUGCUCCUUUUCAUGGUCACAGAUUGUAUUUAGUUUUUCAGACUGGUUUUCCAACCAAACGAGGGAAUGGGUAAUGAAUGUUGUUGCUGUUGUUGUUGUGUGUUGGUUAAUUUCAAAAUAAAACUGUUUAACUCGUACAGUUGA